AUCAGCUCGCCGCCUGCAGCAAACCACGCCCGCGCGGCAACUCGUGUUGCGCGCCUCGUCAGUAUUGUAGUGGAAGUGGAGCAUACGCAAAGUGUUUGUCCUUAACCUGGGCAUUGGUGGAUUUAACAAGUGUGUGUAACGUUUUAGUAGUAGUUUGUUGAAUGUAAGCAAGUUUAUCUUCGCACGGGGUACAGGCGAGGUCGAAAACUACACCGACGCGUUUGGAGGAGCUGCUGACUGCCGAGUUCACCAACUGUAGAUAAUUACUACCGUGGAAAAGUUAUUGUUGGGCACCCAGUGGGGUUUAAAGUUUAGCUAACAGUGGCGUCUCUGCCUACUAGCAGGUAGUUAGCGCCGUAUUUAAACCGCUUAGUUUGGUAACAAUGGCAGCUGUGUGCCAGUCACGACGGGCCUUGGUGGAAAUACCUGCUCCACAACCAAAAAUUGCCGCUCGAAUGAGGAGGUCCUACCUAGAAAUUCUAAGUGCUCGUUUGGCUCCAUCUCCGCUUCCAAGGGGGAGAAAUACAACAACAAACGCAAAGCGUGUGCACUCAUCAGACAUGUCCAUAGCUGGGGUGUGGAGUCGAGGCAUUGAGGAGCAGUGUGAGAAGAUGGAUGACCAUCAAACUCCUCUCUCCAAACAGCAGCUUGUACAGCUAAUCAGAUCCCUGAUCUUAGUUGAACAGAACCAAGAGCCCAAGAUCCUGGCAUCAGACCUGAAGUAUCUCCAGGAAGACCUGCAACUAAAGAAAGCAAAUGUUUAUAGGUCCAUACCCUACUCACGGUUUGGCUCCAACAGGGAUGCUCACUGCUACAGAAAGGCAUAUCCUCACCUUGUGGCAUUCAAAGUUUCUUGUCAAGAGUGGGGCCAAGUUCUUCUGAGGAACAAAAAGUGGGACGCAGUGUUGGAGCACACGUUGAUGGCGUGGCGCUACACCAGCGAGUUGCCUCAGUGGGACACAGCAAACCACAACGCUCUCCAAGAACAGUGUUACAGCAUUUUGGCAGCCCACAGCCUCACCGCUCUCCAACACUACCACCCUGAACCCAACAGAGGACGUGAGCUGCUCCGAAGCUGAAGCAGUUCAACAUGGGCAUCCUACUGGAGUCCUGUCUUGUCACCUGCUGAAUGCUGAAGAUGGUUCAAUUGUACAGCCAGUCAGUUGUGCCCUGUGUUCAGGAGUUGGAGAGGAUUAUGGGAUGUGCCGAUGACUCCAGCAUGGACACAAAAUAACACAAACACCAUACAAUCCAGUCUCUACACCCCAGUGGAAAUUUGCUUCAUAGGUGAUCUAAAUUAUAUCUGUGUGGUACCAGGCCAAAAAACAUUUGACGUGGUUUGUUUGGAAAAACUUCUCCAUUAUUCUUCCAAAGGGGAGGGGCAGCAACUGAAAACACAAUGCAUUUAUUUUUUUUUAGGACAUUGUAGAGAGUAACAUUUGCAUUGACCAGUGAAAUGUUAAAAGUAUGAAAUGGCCUCUUGUUGCUUUAUAAGACGUGUGUGUAUAUGUAUAUAAAUAAUAUGUCCUUGUUAAUGUUCACAAUACUUGAAACUGUGGCUUUUGUCUUGUUUUCUAUGUGUCUUGUUUAUGGAGAAGUGUCCUUGUCACUGAUUGCACUGUUGCAGUUUGUCCUGAAAACUUGAAGAUUUUUGAUAAAAUAGACUCAUAUUUUCAAUAAAUUUUGUUACUUUGUACCAGCAAAGGACUUAAUAAUC